rnacentral:tRNA from 1 species
GGGGUUGUGGCUCAGCGGUAGAGCACUCGCUCACCUAGCACGUGCGAGGCCCUGGGUUCAAUCCUCAGCACCACA